GGACUACUGGGGUAUCUAAUCCCGUUCGCUCCCCUAGCUUUCGCGCCUCAGCGUCAGAAGAGGUCCAGCAGGUCGCUUUCGCCACCGGCGUUCCUUCCGAUAUCUACGCAUUUCACCGCUCCACCGGAAGUUCCACCUGCCCCUACCUCCCUCCAGCCGAUCCGUAUCCCAGGCUAUUUUCCGGUUGAGCCGAAAGAUUUCACCCCGGACGUGAUCGACCGCCUACGCGCCCUUUAAGCCCAGUGAAUCCGAACAACGUUUGCACGGUUCGUCUUACCGCGGCUGCUGGCAC
rnacentral:rRNA from 1 species